rnacentral:tRNA from 1 species
GGAAGGGUGGCCGAGCGGUUGAAGGCGCAGACCUGGAGAGUCUGUAGGCUCCAAAAGGGUCUCGAGGGUUCGAAUCCCUCCCCUUCCG